CAACAAACAUUCGGCCUGCUGUAAGUGCAGUGACACAGGGCAGUUCCUGAAUGGGAUGAGACAGUGGGUCUUCACAGGAGCCCACCCACGUCGAGGAGGGCUCUUUCCCUUGCAAGGAAAUGACAGUUUGAGUCACAGGCUUCUCAACAAUCUAUCAGGAAGAAAGGGUUUCCAGGCGAGUGCAAAUUGCAGAAGAGGAAAACAGGACCCCCUUGGACAGCUGUGCCUGUUCUUAAGUGACCCCAUAGAGCUUUGGGACAUAUGGGUCUUUACAAAUAAACCAGAGACAUGCUGCUGCAACCAGGCACUGUGAGCUUUUCCAGCUCUCAUCCACCAUCCUUCCAGUGUGGA